rnacentral:miRNA from 1 species
CAUACCAUUUGCAAAAGUACACAACCCAAGGUAUUGCAAGGGGGGUAUGUCUAGUCUUUUUUAGUAGCCACUUAGUUACAAACACUGGCCAAAGUUAGCGUUCAUAUUUGUUUUUGUGUGAAAAAAGCAAAAACAAAUAUAUGGCCAGUGUUUGUGACUAAGUGGCUACUACAAAUGACUGGACAUACCCCAUUUGCAAUACCUUGGGUUGUCUACUUUUGCAAAUGGUAUG